AACCUGGGCCAGUGAAGUCCUGGCCGGGGACCGUGCAUGGUAGGCAGUUGACUGGGGCGGUCUACCUCCCCAAAAAGGUAACGGAGGAGUACGAAGGUACGCUUAGGGCGGUCGGACAUCGCCCAUAAAGUGCAAUGGCAAAAGCGUGCUUGACUGCGAGACCCACAAGUCGAGCAGGUGCGAAAGCAGGUCAUAGUGAUCCGGUGGUUCUGUAUGGAAGGGCCAUCGCUCAACGGAUAAAAGGUACUCUGGGGAUAACAGGCUGAUACCGCCCAAGAGUUCAUAUCGACGGCGGUGUUUGGCACCUCGAUGUCGGCUCAUCUCAUCCUGGGGCUGUAGCCGGUCCCAAGGGUAUGGCUGUUCGCCAUUUAAAGAGGUACGUGAGCUGGGUUUAAAACGUCGUGAGACAGUUUGGUCCCUAUCUGCCGUGGGCGCUGGAAAUUUGAAGGGGGC
rnacentral:rRNA from 1 species